UCGUUUCUUCGCCACUUCCCUGGUGGGUAUUCCCAAAUUGCGAUUCGAAGAUGUGCAGAAGAUUGUGGAGACACACUCAGCAACACCACAGCCCAGGCUGACAAAGGGGUACAAGUUUUUUGUGGAGGAGUUUGUACACAAUAAUCAAGAUCACCCUGGAGGCUGUUGGACAACUGGGUCUCUCAGAGCUGUAGCUGUGCUGCGGGAAAAGGCUUCUGUAGCCAUAUAACCGCUCUGCUGUUCCAGACAGCGCAUUAUGUGCAGCUGGGCCUUGAUGUGGUUCCACCUUCCCUGGCCUGUACCAGUCAACCACAGAUGUGGCAUCGACCUCGAACCCACGUGUGCUGUUGUGUCCUCUGUUCAAAUCAUACACUUCAGUAUUUGUCUAGAGUAUAUGAGCAUUUCCUGUAUUGUUGUUCGCCUCAGGGAAUCUACCCAGAGGCUGUGAGUGACCUGGUGGUGAAGAAACCCAAGUCGGUGGGGAAGACUGGAGUCAAGUCCACACUCUACAGAGCGUAUGCUGAGGGAAUAUCCAGCUUGGAGUUGGUACCAUCUCAGCUGUGCUGACCUGGAAGAUGUCAGCAAUGACCUGUUCUUUAAGGCCAGUUGCUACUCUACAACAGUAGAUGAAAAACUCA